CCUACGGGAGGCAGCAGUAAGGAAUAUUGGUCAAUGGACGAAAGUCUGAACCAGCCAUGCCGCGUGAAGGAUGAAGGUCCUCUGGAUUGUAAACUUCUUUUAUCUGGGACGAAAAAAGGGAAUUCUUUCUCACUUGACGGUACCAGAGGAAUAAGCACCGGCUAACUCCGUGCCAGCAGCCGCGGUAAUACGGAGGGUGCAAGCGUUAUCCGGAUUCACUGGGUUUAAAGGGAGCGUAGGUGGGUCUGUAAGUCAGUGGUGAAAUCUCCGAGCUUAACUCGGAAACUGCCAUUGAUACUAUAGAUCUUGAAUUAUCUGGAGGUAAGCGGAAUAUGUCAUGUAGCGGUGAAAUGCUUAGAUAUGACAUAGAACACCAAUUGCGAAGGCAGCUUACUACGGAUAUAUUGACACUGAGGCUCGAAAGCGUGGGGAUCAAACAGGAUUAGAUACCCUGGUAGUCCACGCCCUAAACGAUGGAUACUCGACAUCAGCGAUACACUGUUGGUGUCUGAGAGAGANAUAUAUCCACCGNGAGACGACGACGAGUAGAAGACGAAGAAGUAGACGACGNGAGACGACGACGACGGACGACGACGAGGGGAGGAGG
rnacentral:rRNA from 1 species